rnacentral:tRNA from 1 species
GGAGGGGUGCCAGAGUGGACGAUUGGGCUAAUCUCGAAAAUUAGUAAGGUUGAAAGAUCUUCGCGGGUUCGAAUCCCGCCCCCUCCG